AAAAGUCGUAGCAGGCUGAGAGGAAGAUAGUGGGUGUGGGUAGCAGGAGAGGGGGCAAGAGAAAAUGAAACGGAGCCUAAACAGGAGAAAAUCCCAUGUCUGGCUGAGCGGGUCUCAAUUCUCUAUCUCCUUUCCACGCCCAAGGAUUAACCAUCCGGGCUACCCAAGAUGGUUGAAAGUUUCAAUUUUAUUUGUGUGACUCAAUUGAUCGCACUAGCUCCUUGCUAGAAACCGGAUAAGCCAGCUGCAUAAAUAGUUGAUUCCUAUACAUGUGACCUUAAUUAUUACUUUGGAUGAUUUAGACAUAUGACUUCUGACAAUGGUGGGUUUACAAUUUAUGUGAGGAAAAGUCUAUGGCAAUAGUAGCCCUGCAAAAAAAUAGCUUUGCCGAAGUGGGGAUACUAACAAUGCAUGCAUCUGCCUCUUUAAUUUGUACUGUGUAUAAAUUUUGGUGCAUCAGGACACUAGACACGAUCCUUAUCCAUUGCUGCUGUCAUUAUACUUGAGCAUGUUUCUGUUCAUCACAAUAUUACAAGCAUUGAACAUUAAUUCCUGAAUCCUGAAGCCUCAGCUGCAACUAUUCAAUUGAAUUGUUUAUACAUAAGGAUUGUUUCGUUGCCUGUAUCCAUUGCAGCUGUAGUUGGGGAUGGAUUCAUG
rnacentral:misc_RNA from 1 species